rnacentral:rRNA from 1 species
UACAGAGGUCUCGAGCGUUGUUCGGAUUCAUUGGGCGUAAAGGGUGCGUAGGUGGCGCUGUAAGUCGGGUGUGAAAUCCUGAGGCUUAACCUCGGAACUGCAUUCGAUACUGCGGCGCUUUGAGGACUGGAGAGGAGACUGGAAUUCAUGGUGUAGCAGUGAAAUGCGUAGAGAUCAUGAGGAAGACCAGUGGCGAAGGCGGGUCUCUGGACAGUUCCUGACACUGAGGCACGAAGGCCAGGGGAGCAAACGGG